AAGUCGUAACAAGGUUUCCGUAGGUGAACCUGCGGAAGGAUCAUUAACACGUACCUUUGGUACACACCAACCCGAGAACGUAUUACUCCCUGUCUAUGCCUUUGGCCGCCCUCGAGACGUGGUAAUGACUCGAGGCCCGCACGGGACAACCUGGCGAAAGCCUUACCGUCCCACGUUGGUAUUCAGGCUGCCCCCCCAUUACUUCGUAAAUCUCUUUUUUACGACUCUCACCCAUGAAGACAUCUCACUGAUUUGUUGCGCCAAGUGAUGCCGAAAGGCCACUCGCAACCACCUUAACAUAACCUAGCACAACUCUUAGCAAUGGAUAUCUAGGUUCUC
rnacentral:misc_RNA from 1 species